CAGCUCCUUUUCUGCCUCAACUCUGAAGCCCAGCAUGCGCCUCAUUCUGACUUGGGCUUGGCUCCUCCACGCCCUUGCUUCAGGCCCAGCACGCAUAUGCUCCAGCCCAUGCCAGGUAGCUCUAAGACUAGCAUGCACCUCAUGCUCCAUCUGAUCCCAGCAUGAACUCCCCAGCUAUUUGUCAACUAUUGCUCACGAAUUGCAACUCAUGCUGGAC
rnacentral:lncRNA from 1 species